rnacentral:rRNA from 1 species
CAGUAGCCACGGGAAUACGGAGGGAGCUAGCGUUGUUCGGAAUCACUGGGCGUAAAGCGUACGUAGGCGGCUAUUCAAGUCAGUGGUGAAAGCCCGGGGCUCAACCCCGGAACUGCCUUUGAAACUAGAUAGCUUGAAUCUUGGAGAGGCGAGUGGAAUUCCGAGUGUAGAGGUGAAAUUCGUAGAUAUUCGGAAGAACACCAGUGGCGAAGGCGACUCGCUGGACAAGUAUUGACGCUGAGGUGCGAAAGCGUGGGGAGCAGACAGGAUUAGAUACCCCCGUAGUCCCUGUCUCUUAUAC